rnacentral:rRNA from 1 species
AAACCAAAUGGGAUCCUCUUGCCUUCAACAUUCUGCUGUCCGACACAAGCGGUCAUUUGCGAAAUAUUAAUGAAACUGCCUUUUGAGCCUGCAGUGCAUAGCUUUCAGAUUGUUGCUCUCAGACAAACUCUGCUGAGCACUACUCCCAGAAUCAUCACGAGCCUUGUUAAGAACCUAACAUGGAAAAUAGAUAUGUCAUAA